rnacentral:rRNA from 1 species
AAAGGGGGAAACCCUGACGCAGCAACGCCGCGUGGGUGAUGAAGGCCUUCGGGUCGUAAAGCUCUGUCCUCAAGGAAGAUAAUGACGGUACUUAAGGAGGAAGCCCCGGCUAACUACGUGCCAGCAGCCGCGGUAAUACGUAGGGGGCUAGCGUUAUCCGGAAUUACUGGGCGUAAAGGGUGCGUAGGUGGUUUUUUAAGUCAGAAGUGAAAGGCUACGGCUCAACCGUAGUACGCGUUUGAAACUAGAGAACUUGAGUGCAGGAGAGGAGAGUAGAAUUCCUAGUGUAGCGGUGAAAUGCGUAGAUAUUAGGAGGAAUACCAGUAGCGAAGGCGGCUCUCUGGACUGUAACUGACACUGAGGCACGAAAGCGUGGGGAGCAAA